rnacentral:lncRNA from 1 species
UUAUUUGUACAUUGUUUACUUUAUACGAUUCAAAGAAAUAUGAAUCAUGCUUACAAGUCAUAACUCAAAAGUGAUAAAAUCAAACACAAAUGAACAUAAACAUCUCUAGGAUUACGUUCAAAUUCGGAAAUUCAACGGAAAUUGAACCUGUGUUCAAGUGUUUGAUUAAAUAUGAAUGCAAACAUCUCUAGAAUACCAAACAAAAUCUCAACUAAAUUACUAAAAUAAUACAAAUCAGGUAACAUUGAAACUUAUAGCAACAUGUGAAGGAUGUCAAAAGGGAUGGCUGGGAGACGUCUGCUUCCAACUUCUCCGGAACAAAAUCUCAACUAAAUUACUAAAAUAAUACAAAUCAGGUAACAUUGAAACUUAUAGCAACAUGUGAAGGAUGUCAAAAGGGAUGGCUGGGAGACGUCUGCUUCCAACUUCUCCGGUGCAACAGAAAAUCUGGAGAAGAAAGAAAAUGUUUGCAAGGGGUCAUUGUAGGAUUAGUUGUGGGCUUUAAUAAAACAACAACAAAAAGAAAAAUAUUUAAAAUGAUUGGCAUCCCUAGUUUUAUUUGAAAGCCCAUUCUUAUUUAAGAGGCUUCUUCCCUACUCCUUGACCCAUGUAAGAAGCCAUGGCUUCCCAAUCAUCCAGACUCAGUCAUGGCAACCCAAACAAGUUCAUACAAUAUUAUUU